rnacentral:lncRNA from 1 species
CAUGGUAUAUGGUUCCAAAAUGGGAAAUGUUCCAAUAUGAUAAAAUGUUCCAAAGAUAAAAAGGUUAUACAAUUGAUGCUUAAAUGGAGUUGGUAAAACCGUAAAACCCUCCAAUGGUGUUAAUUAUUGUUUGCAAGAUUCCCAAGCUCUCUUGCUUGAUAUAUUUUGCUCUCUAAUUGUAGGAAUUGAGUCGUAUCUUUCAUGCAAAAAAAGAAUCCACCUUUUUUUUACACGAAUCUACCCCUAGAUAUAUGACCCACCGUAUAGACCUCAAAGCGCCCCAAACUC